rnacentral:rRNA from 1 species
GACGAACGCUGGCGGCGUGCUUAACACAUGCAAGUCGAACGAUGAAGAAGAGAAACGCGAACUUCGGUUCAACUUUCACUUCGGAUUAGUGGCAGACGGGUGAGUAACGCGUGAGCAACCUACCUCUUACAAAGGGAUAGCCUCGGGAAACCGUGAUUAAUACCAUAUGACACAUUCAUAAGGCAUCUUAAGAAUGUUAAAGCUACGGCGGUAAGAGAUGGGCUCGCGUCCCAUUAGCUAGUUGGUGAGGUAACGGCCCACCAAGGCGACGAUGGGUAACCGGGCUGGGAGGGGUAACGGUCACAUUUGAACUGAGACACGGUCCAAACUCCUACGGGAGGCAGGAGGUGGGAAUAUUGCACAAUGGAGGGAACUCUGAUGCCGCGACGCCGCGUGAGCGAUGAAGGAAUUCGUUUCGGAAAGCUCUGUUCUAUGGGAAGAAAAGGACUGUACCAAAGGAGAAAGCCCCGGCUAAAUACGUG